GGCGACCGGCGCACGGGUGAGUAACGCGUAUCCAACCUGCCCUUUACUAUGGGACAGCCCGUCGAAAGGCGGAUUAAUACCGUAUGUUGUCAUGUUGAUGCAUAUUUUCAUGACCAAAGGCUUCGGCCGGUAAAGGAUGGGGAUGCGUCUGAUUAGCUUGCCGGCGGGGUAACGGCCCACCGGGGCGACGAUCAGUAGGGGUUCUGAGAGGAAGGUCCCCCACAUUGGGACUGAGACACGGUCCAAACUCCUACGGGAGGCAGCAG
rnacentral:rRNA from 1 species